GGGAAGGUGGCUCACUGGUGGAGUGCUUGCCUUGCAUGCAUGAGACCCUGGGUUCGAUUCCUCGGCACCCCA
rnacentral:tRNA from 1 species